GAUUAACGCUGGCGGCGUGCAUAACACAUGCAAGUUACACGGGUGUUUGGUGCUUGCACCAAACAUCAGUAGCGGACGGGUGAGUAAUGCGUGAGAACUUGUCUUUUGGAGGGGGAUAACCCUGGGAAACCAGGACUAAUACCCCGUAUGCCGAGAGGUAAAAGGAGCAAUCCGCCAAAAGAGAGGCUCGCGUCCUAUCAGCUAGUUGGGGAGGUAAUGGCUCCCCAAGGCCAAGACGGGUAGCCGGACUGAGAGGUUGUACGGCCACAUUGGAACUGAGACACGGUCCAGACUCCUACGGGAGGCAGCAGUGGGGAAUAUUGGGCAAUGGGCGCAAGCCUGACCCAGCGACGCCGCGUGAGGGAAGACGGCCUUCGGGUUGUAAACCUCUGUUGCAGGGGAAGAAUACAAUGACGGUACCCUGUUAGAAAGCCCCGGCAAACUACGUGCCAGCAGCCGCA
rnacentral:rRNA from 1 species